GAUGAACGCUGGCGGCGUGCUUAACACAUGCAAGUCGAGCGAUGAAGUUUCCUUCGGGAAACGGAUUAGCGGCGGACGGGUGAGUAACACGUGGGUAACCUGCCUCAUAGAGUGGAAUAGCCUUCCGAAAGGAAGAUUAAUACCGCAUAACGUUGAAAGAUGGCAUCAUCAUUCAACCAAAGGAGCAAUCCGCUAUGAGAUGGACCCGAGGCGCAUUAGCUAGUUGGUGGGGUAACGGCCUACCAAGGCGACGAUGCGUAGCAGACCUGAGAGGGUGAUCGGCCACAUUGGGACUGAGACACGGCCCAGACUCCUACGGGAGGCAGCAGUGGGGAAUAUUGCACAAUGGGGGAAACCCUGAUGCAGCAACGCCGCGUGAGUGAUGAAGGUUUUCGGAUCGUAAAGCUCUGUCUUUGGGGAAGAUAAUGACGGUACUCAAGGAGGAAGCCACGGCUAACUACGUGCCAGCCGCCGCAGUAA
rnacentral:rRNA from 1 species